ensembl:snoRNA
AUGAGAUGUUAAGAUUCAAAUGCAAAAAUAUCUGACACAAUCUGAGCUUGUUAUAGCAAGAAAGUCUAACCCAUUUUGGUGUUCUGUCUUCCAUGAGAGAAGUUGUUAUAUAGACUUAAACAGU